UCGGGAAUAUUGCGCAAUGGAGGAAACUCUGACGCAGUGACGCCGCGUAUAGGAAGAAGGUUUUCGGAUUGUAAACUAUUGUCCACAGGGAAGAGAAAGGACUGUACCUGUGAAGAAAGCUCCGGCUAACUACGUGCCAGCAGCCGCGGUAAUACGUAGGGAGCAAGCGUUAUCCGGAAUUAUUGGGUGUAAAGGGUGCGUAGACGGGAAUCUAAGUUAGUUGUGAAAUCCCUCGGCUCAACUGAGGAACUGCAACUAAAACUGGAUUUCUUGAGUGCAGGAGAGGAAAGUGGAAUUCCUAGUGUAGCGGUGAAAUGCGUAGAUAUUAGGAGGAACACCAGUGGCGAAGGCGACUUUCUGGACUGUAACUGACGUUGAGGCACGAAAGUGUGGGGAGCAAACAGG
rnacentral:rRNA from 1 species